AGCUGCGCAGUGGGCACAGAGCGAACUAUUCUUUCGCCUUUUACUAAAGAAUACCGUGUGCUCGCUGCAAAUAGCAGCAUACUCUAAUUUUUUGAGGGGAUUUACUAUAUAAGGAGAAC
rfam:Oryza nivara chromosome 4, whole genome shotgun sequence.